rnacentral:rRNA from 1 species
GACGAACGCUGGCGGCGUGCCUAAUACAUGCAAGUUGAGCGCUGAAGGUUGGUACUUGUACCGACUGGAUGAGCAGCGAACGGGUGAGUAACGCGUGGGGAAUCUGCCUUUGAGCGGGGGACAACAUUUGGAAACGAAUGCUAAUACCGCAUAAAAACUUUAAACACAAGUUUUAAGUUUGAAAGAUGCAAUUGCAUCACUCAAAGAUGAUCCCGCGUUGUAUUAGCUAGUUGGUGAGGUAAAGGCUCACCAAGGCGAUGAUACAUAGCCGACCUGAGAGGGUGAUCGGCCACAUUGGGACUGAGACACGGCCCAAACUCCUACGGGAGGCAGCAGUAGGGAAUCUUCGGCAAUGGACGAAAGUCUAACCGAGCAACGCCGCGUGAGUGAAGAAGGGUUUCGGAUCGUAAAACUCUGUUGGUAGAGAAGAACGUUGGUGAGAGUGGAAAGCUCAUCAAGUGACGGUAACUACCCAGAAAGGGACGGCUAACUACGUG